AGUGAACGCUGGCGGUAGGCCUAACACAUGCAAGUCGAACGGCAGCGCAGUAAGAGCUUGCUCUUACGGGUGGCGAGUAGCGGGCGGGUGAGGAAUACAUCGGAAUCUACUUUUUCGUGGGGGAUAACGUAGGGAAACUUACGCUAAUACCGCAUACGACCUACGAGUGAAAGUAGGGGAUCUUCGGACCUUGCGCGAUUGAAUGAGCCGAUGUCGGAUUUGCUAGUUGGUGGGUUAAAGACCCACUAAGGCGACGAUCCGUAGCUGGUCUGAGAGGAGGGUCAGCCACACUGGAACUGGGACACGGUCCAGACUCCUACGGGAGGCAGCAGAGGGGAAUAUUGGACAAUGGGCGCAAGCCUGAUCCAGCCAUACCGCGUGGGUGAAAAAGGCCUCCGGGUUUUAAAGCCCGUUUGUUGGGAAAGAAAAGCAGCAGGUUGAUACCCCGCUGUUCUGACGGUACCCAAAGAAUAAGCACCGGCUAACUUCGUG
rnacentral:rRNA from 1 species